AUUUGAAGAGUUUGAUCAUGGCUCAAAAUCAACGCUGGCGGCGUGCCUAACACAUGCAAGUCGAACGAGAAAGGGGCUUCGGCCCUGAGUAAAGUGGCGCACGGGUGAGUAACACGUGACUGACCUACCCUCGAGUGGGGAAUAACUUCGGGAAACCGAGGCUAAUACCGCAUAACACCUACGGGUCAAAGGAGCAAUUCGCUUGAGGAGGGGGUCGCGGCAGAUUAGCUAGUUGGCGGGGUAAUGGCCCACCAAGGCGAUGAUCUGUAUCCGGCCUGAGAGGGCGCACGGACACACUGGAACUGAAACACGGUCCAGACUCCUACGGGAGGCAGCAGUGGGGAAUUUUGCGCAAUGGGGGAAACCCUGACGCAGCAACGCCGCGUGGAGGAUGAAGUCCCUUGGGACGUAAACUCCUUUCGACCGGGACGAUAAUGACGGUACCGGAAGAAUAAGCACCGGCUAACUACGUGCCAGCAGCCGCGGUAAUACGUAGGGUGCAAGCGUUAAUCGGAAUUACUGGGCGUAAAGCGUGCGCAGGCGGUUUUGUAAGUCUGUCGUGAAAGCCCCGGGCUCAACCUGGGAAUUGCGAUGGAGACUGCAAGGCUUGAAUCUGGCAGAGGGGGGUAGAAUUCCACGUGUAGCAGUGAAAUGCGUAGAGAUGUGGAGGAACACCGAUGGCGAAGGCAGCCCCSUGGGUCAAGAUUGACGCUCAUGCACGAAAGCGUGGGGAGCAAACAGGAUUAGAUACCCUGGUAGUCCACGCCCUAAACGAUGUCUACUAGUUGUCGGGUUUUAAUUAACUUGGUAACGCAGCUAACGCGUGAAGUAGACCGCCUGGGGAGUACGGUCGCAAGAUUAAAACUCAAAGGAAUUGACGGGGACCCGCACAAGCGGUGGAUGAUGUGGAUUAAUUCGAUGCAACGCGAAAAACCUUACCUACCCUUGACAUGGACGGAAGCCACGAGAGAUCGAGGUGUGCUCGAAAGAGAACCGUCACACAGGUGCUGCAUGGCUGUCGUCAGCUCGUGUCGUGAGAUGUUGGGUUAAGUCCCGCAACGAGCGCAACCCUUGUCAUUAGUUGCUACGAAAGAGCACUCUAAUGAGACUGCCGGUGACAAACCGGAGGAAGGUGGGGAUGACGUCAAGUCCUCAUGGCCCUUAUGGGUAGGGCUUCACACGUCAUACAAUGGUACAUACAGAGGGCCGCCAACCCGCGAGGGGGAGCUAAUCCCAGAAAGUGUAUCGUAGUCCGGAUUGUAGUCUGCAACUCGACUACAUGAAGUUGGAAUCGCUAGUAAUCGCGGAUCAGCAUGUCGCGGUGAAUACGUUCCCGGGUCUUGUACACACCGCCCGUCACACCAUGGGAGCGGGUUUUACCAGAAGUAGGUAGCUUAACCGCAAGGAGGGCGCUUACCACGGUAGGAUUCGUGACUGGGGUGAAGUCGUAACAAGGUAACCAAUCGUCGACCUGC
rnacentral:rRNA from 1 species